UUUUUAUAGAAGGGAAUAAGAGAAUGAGUGUUGACUGUUGUUUCAUCACGAAAUUGGCGAUUUCGAGAAAGCAAGUUUUUCCAUAACCAUGCUCUGUCGCUCCUCUUUAUCGUUUCGGAAAUCGAAACAUAAUUUUUUGGAAAAAUUGAGUAGCGCGAGAUCUUAUUGCGCCAAAGAUUAAGAUAGUAAAAAAAAAGAGCAACAGAUGUUUCGUUUUUACCCGCAAAUAAGAAAAGUUUAAUAGAUAUUGUAUCCUGAAACGCAGCUAGUUGGAACGUAUUAUUUUAAGCAAGUUAUGGAUAUCGAGUAGCUAUCGAAAGAGAAGGCGAAAUAUUCUCGAAACUCAGGAAAGCUUAACUGAGUAAAAAAAUAAAUUUGAUCGACGUUAGAAAGAAGCUAUAAAUGGAAGAAAUAAACUAUCUGAGGAGGCAAGUUUGGAAGCAUAAAAUAGGUUAAACUUGCUAGGAGCAAAGUAGAUUUCAUCAAUAACGAGGUUUGUGUUUGGCUCGAGACCGAAGUUUCAUCAAUUCUGAAACCAACCCUAUAUUUGGUCUUAAAGGCUGCCGACGAACCAAAUUUUUAUCCCCCUCGAAUUGAAUCAUCGAAGAAAAAGAUGGAAGAAAUGCGGAUUGUACGGGAGGAAUGAUUAUUAGAAGGCUUGUGUUUCUAAAAUGGACGAUAAUUAACUCGUAUAUUCUUCGAAAUAUAUGGUAAAGCACACAAAUGCUUUUAAUAACACCGAUAAAUCACUAUAACGAACUUUGGUAACAUAUAACGAACCUGGCUACCGUAAAACACCAACUUCCUGAUAUUAUACCCCCAUGCUUUUAGUUCCACUCGCGUAUCGCGGUGGAAAAGUUAAAAUCAACCUCGGAAAUAACAUCAAAAUCACGCGGUAUUUGAUUUUUACCGUGCAAUUCAUUCGAUAAACAUUUAAUAAACUAACAAAUAGCCAAUCUGAGAAAAUAUUUCGCGUUUCGAAUUUUUCAUUAAACAUCAUUAACGCAUUGAACUCUUUACAUUUAUUCCAAAUAUAAUUAAAUCGUAUAGAAUAAAAAAAACUGUAAUCAGAUCUUAUUUUAUAUAACAAUUCCCUAAAGUUCGAUUUCUUCGUCACGAAAAUAACUUCAGGUUUAUUGUCUCUCGAUAUAUGAUACAUUCUUCAAAGAUUUGAUAUUUCCUCCAAGCAAUUGAAGAACGAAAUACGGUCUAUUAUCGAGGCAUUGUUCAUUGUCGUAUACAGAGUUUGGUUAUAAUUUUGGUGUUCAAAUUUUCAAUCAACGAUUUUAUUUUCCCUGCCACGUCAAAAUUAAUUUAAAAUGUUAAUACCAACAUUCCAAAACUGUAAUAUGUUCGAUUAAAAUUAUUCGAAUAAAUAAAUUAAUCAAAGGAUUAACAACCAAAAUUCAAGGUAUUAAAAUUCACGAUAUUUAAUUAUUCAAUCGAUCUACUGCAAACAUCUAAGAAUCGAAAAUAAUUUCUAAACAAGAUCUAUCGAUCGAAAAACUCGUAAUCUCUAAAAAUCCAUACGCAUAUUCCGCACGCGAUAUUUGAAUUAUCCCCCGCGGACCAUUCUCCGGCUGACCAAUAGCAGAAGGGACGGAGAACAAUAAGGGACGAAGAAAUACGGGGCGUAGAAGAAAAGGAAAGACGGGCGGAGGAAAAAGAAAGUUGGCUUUUCAUGAACCGCAGAGGCUGCUGCGGCGAGUGUGUUGCCACGACCCACCCCUGUUCGGGAAGCGUGUCGAGAGGGGCGGCGAGAGCCGCAGUUAUAUCGGGUUUCCACCACCUCGGGGCGAGCCCCUCGCUUCGAUGCUUGCGUCGUAAACAAGCCGGACAAACCGCACGAACACGCGAGCAGCAUGCUAGAGAGAGAGAAGGAGAGGAAAAAUGGAGGAAAGUAAGUAAGAGAACGUUUUGCAACCGGCUACUUUCCCUUCCUCUUUUCCCUUUCUUCGUAUCCCUUUCCCCUCCGGCAAUGGACUCGCAGGGUUUUCCCCGCGCGAGCCCUUGCCGAGGAUAUUUAUGUACAAUACGGUACAUAAAUAAAUCAUGGAAAUUUAUUUACCGAAUUAUUGCGACACGGUGAAUUCGAAUACGUUCGAAGGUGAAAAAGGUGUUCCGCUUCGGUGGAGGAUAAAACGGAGUAAUGCGGGCAUGAGAAAAUGUAGGAAGAGAUCUUUUGUGCUGGGUUAAGUUUCUUCGUUCAGAUGAAGAUUUAGAUUUUCUUUUUUUUAUUCUUUAGGGAAGAUUAUUAUUUCGAUAAUUAUAUUCGUAGAGAAAAAUGGUGGUUCGAUUUCAUAUGAGAGAUCUUUUAGUUUAGAAUUAUUGUGGUUAAGGAAAACGUACGGAAGAGGAGUGUUUUUUAAUCUUCUUUGAGUUACGAUUCCAUUUUGCGAUGUUGGAAAAUUACUACGCGUUCGAUUGUGCAUCUAAAAUGAAGAAGCGAGUAUCAGGAAAUCGUUAAUUGUUCGGCUAAAAGUAAUACCGUUUCGUAAAUUUUCAGUUUGUAAGUUAUAGGUUGGGAACCACUGGUUUAUAUGAUAAGCUCUGGUGUAUCAACCUGGUGUUGUUAGGAUCAUAAUCAGCUUUUAUGAUAAACAAUGUCAAAAUUAUUAAUUAUUAAUUAAAAAUUAAAAAAUGAAGACGAGAAUUUGACGAUUGUAUAACAAAUUUUUGAUAUAUUGCAAUAUUUAUAAUAAAGAUAUUAGAUUUAUAAUUAUUUAUCUAUAAUAAUUUUCGAGCUCGAUAUUGUAUUCUAUUUUCGUUGUGUGCAAUAGUGGAGAUAAAUAAUAUUCGAAAUUCAGGGAAUGAAAUCAAUAUUAGAGUAGCCAUCGUACUGAAAUACUAAAUCAAAUUUCGACCAGAUAUUAUUCCCUCUCAUAUUUUUGAGAUUAUACAUAUAUUUCGAUCAUAAAUGAAAGAAUUAUCUAAGAUAAAAGAGUAAAAAAUCAGAGUCAUUAAAAUUCAUAUAUUCGUAAUUCGAAGGACAGAAAUUGCAGGAAAUAAAAUCAUUCGUUUAAUCCAGUUCUUUGUGAAAUGAUGUAAGAAAAAUUAUAAACGUGAGAGAACGUUUACGAAUAUUAUUGGUAAUUUUCAUACAAAUGCUUUGAUAUAAUCUCACAAGGAAGAUAGAAAUUAAAAUACUGUGUAAUAUCCUUAUAUAUAAAAACAGAUUAGUACAAACGGAAUAUCUAUAGACUAUUUACGAUUGAUCUCAAAAAUCUUCAAGAUUUAUUUUUAAACUUUUUAAAAAACCUUUUCACUAAUCGUUUUGAAAAGAUUGAUAACGAUUCUGAUUUAUUUUCUUGAUAAAAUUACCAUACAUAAGGAAAGAAUCAAAUCUCGAUAUAAUUCCCCCUCCCCCACUCCAUUAAUGAUAAAACGAUUAAAAUAAUCGCCUAAUUUCAGAUCAUAAUUUUCCUUCUUUUCUCGCUCACGAAUCUCAUUACCACGAAUACUCGUUCAACGAUAGCAAAGAUACUUUCAAAAAUGUCCCAUCCAAGUUUAUUUCGAGCUGUAAUUACACCCCGUAAAGUCACCCCCUCCUCUUUUUCCCUCUUAACCUUUACCAACUCGGUUCCACAUUCUCGGCGAGGAAUACACACGAUCUCUUACGACUAUUGACGCGAAAAGGGAGGUCGGCACGGCAAUGCGCAGGGAAACGAGACAUUUUGCGGAGAAUUCUGACCUACCCACGACUUUCGACCGAAUUACUUCACGGCCGUAAUUGUUAACGUGCUCGCUGUUUUCACGGAAGGGAAAUAGGAUUGAGUUUACCUUUGACGUACAAACAGAGCUUUCAACGGAUUUUAAUCACAUACGGCAGCGCGGCUUCCAUGAAGGCUGAUGUAUGUCUUUUCUCUCUCUUUCUCUCUCCCUCUCCCUCUCUCUCUUUUUUGUUUUUUUUUUCACUUUUUUUUUAUACGCUGUUUCGCGCUCGCCUUGGAACAACAUGUUUGCUCACAGGCUUACACGUCGGCCGUUUUUACGCGUGUCCAAUUUCUACUACGGCCUCCGCCCGUCGAAUCCGAUACAGGAAACCUUUUAGAACGCGAUAAACGUGUCUACGAAAAUACCUAACUGGGAAAGUGUAUAUAUAGAGGGUGAGGUACAGAUGAUUUUUUCCUUUAAAAAUCAAUAAAAAAUGUAGAAUGGUUUCAGAGAGGGGGGAAUUUCUUUCGUGUAAUACUUUCUAUGAAAAAUAAAAAAUUAAUUUGCAUAUCCAAAAAUCGUUAGUUUUUAGGGGAUAUUUUAACUUGAAAUGUUCUUAAAAUUAUACGAAAGUAUGUUGCUUUGCAUGUUUCUUGAGAAAAUUCUAUCUGAAAAAUUUUUUUGCCAUCGAUAAUAACACGAAUUAAAGCGAGAUGAUAAUAUCUGAUGAACGUAUAUGCAUAUGCAUAUAAUAGAGAAACGCCGUGGCGGAUAUUUUUCACGUCUGAACGCUCGUAUUGAGUUUAUAUAAAGUUUACUGGGACGCAUCAAUGAAAUAGAGUCGAAGGGAAGAAGAUGUCGAGCGAGCAGAUUUGUGAUUUUUCCAGAAACAGUUUAUAUAUAUGCGCGCGAGAAAGAUUCGUGAGGUCGAAUGAAUCGAAUUUCAGAUUGUGGAAUCGAGUGUAAAUAUCUAAGGAUUGGAUAUUUUAAUGUUAAAUAUAUCGAGCUAUAUCCCAAACUUGAAGCGUUGCUGUGUAAAGAAAUUUGUCGAUCUUAAUGGUAAUUAUUCGAAAUAAAUAUUAUCGAAAUCGACAUUAUUAAAAACGAUACUUCGUUAGCUGUAUAAAAAUGAUAGCAUUAAAAUUGUCAAAACGAAAGUGCAAAUGCAAUAAUGAUAUAAAUAAUAGUGAAUUAAGUGAAGAUUCAAUGUAACAAGAAAACGAUUAUAAUAUCGAAAUUGACAAUGCGUUAAUGUAUUUAGCUUUUCAAUGUUUAGCUUUUACAUACAUACGAAGAAAUAUAUCACUCUGGAUGAGUGUGAAUUACAGAUUAUUAAUUUAUACACGUUUCUAUAUAUCGCGUGCCAGCAUUAUUAUUCGAAUAUACUUUAACGUAUAAUAACGUUCGUUAAUUUCAGUUGACUUGCCGUACAUUAAUCUGGUAUAUAUUAAUGUACAUGUGCCAAGGUAUUAUCCUGUAUACACCUUGUGUCUCGUUGAUAUAAUGUUUUCAAUCUGGCCACGUAUUAAUGCGUAUAAUUAUAACGCGCGACACAAUCUCCACACGCGAGUGUGUUCCAAUGGAAAUUAAUAUAUAUCUUUGUUAAUUUUAAUUAUCUUAUCAUUCAUGUAUCUAAUUGAAACGUGAUGUAUACACAUGUAUCCAUAUAUAAUUUACCAUGUACCAGAUAUAUACCAGUAUACACACGUGCAAUUUAAUUAAAAUAUUCAUCUGGUGUAUAUAUUAAUUUGCAUUCAAUGUAUAAUGAAUAUCGAUGAAAGGUGACGCGAUAAAUACAUGUAUAUUUACAUUUUUAUUAUCAAAAUAUAUCGAUAUAUCGAUAUAUAAUAUCGUAUAUUAAAAUAUUGACUAACUAACCGAUUGAUUACUAUUUAUACGUAUAUAAAACUUGGUUAUUGCGAAAGAAUUUUAUUAUUUCGUUAUUUCUAGAAAAUGGAGAAAAGAGAUUGUUGCACAGUUUCAAAUAGGAGACAGAUCGGGAAAAUUGUAGAGCAAGAUAAAGCUAGUCGAUACUUGGAGAAAACUUAAAACUCGAUUCAAGGACUUCCAUUCAAACAACUAACUCGAGUAUGCGCAUUUCGAGCAUUGCACAUUUUCUCUCUCUCUCUCUCCUUCGACUUUCUUUCGCCUGGAUCCAAGUAAACUGCGCAGAAAUUUGAGAGAAAAAAAUUGAAUCCACUCGAAAGCUCAAACUUGUCAUCCACUUUUCUUUCAUACAAUAUACAUAUAUAUAUCGCAAAAAAAUAUACAAAUAUACAUAUUCACGAAUAGGAAACGAUUAAACGAAACUGUAACGCUGUAAUUUAAAACGAACAAAGGCCAAAGUGGAACGAAUUCUUUUCUUUCAGGGGGGAAAUCAAGCGAGAGAGAGAAAGAGAGAGAGAGAAACAGAGAAGAAGUUUCAUUUCGCGCGCCCCUUCUCGUGUAUCUCAUUAUAUUUUAGCAGAUAAGUGAUAACGUCUCGCGAAAAGUUCAAUUCCCCCCAAACUUCCAUUGUAACAAGUAUCUGUACGGCUUGUCUGAAUGUGACGACAGUUGGAGGGAUACGAAGAAGGGGUGGCCGUCAGGUGGGAGAAAUUGCGGCACGGCCAAUUUGCGAACAUUAUCCGAACGAAGACGUUUGGCAAAGGGAAGGAAGGACAUUCUUUCGAAUUACACUUACUGCCGCCGUUGUCGGCUGCCAGCAGCACGAAAUUACAUUAUCACGGAAUUGCACGGUCCCGGGACGAGAAGUUGUUCCCGGGGCGUACGAAUUCAUUUGCUUGUGUGCACCCUCUCGAUAAGGGGAGAAACGAUAUAUCAAAACGAGAAAGGAAAAUGGAAGAGGGGGAGAGGUGGAUACAAUUGGGGGAAAUGGGUGAAAGAGAAGAAGAAAUUUGUCGAAUUCAUUUGCUCGUGUAUCUUCGAUGAAACGGGCAAACUGAAAGAAAGGAAAACGAGAGAUAAUUGGAGAAAUUAUCGGUAAAAAAAAAGAAGAGAAAUUUAUCGAAUUCAUUUUGCUUCGUGUAUCUUCUAUAGAAACGAAAAAUUGGAAAGGAAGAAGAGAAAAGAGAAAAUUUUCGAAUUCAUUUGCUCGUGUCAUCUUUGACAAGGCGAAACGAGAAGAAAAUAAAGGACGAUUGGAGGAAUUAAAAGGGAGAGAAAAGAAAAAGAAAUUUGUCGAAUUCAUUUAUCCUCGAUAAGGAGAGAUAAUCAAGAAGAAAGGAAAGGAACGAUGAUACAAAUGGAAGGAGAGAAGAAAGAGAGAGAGAGAGAGGAGACAAGAGAAAAGAAACUUUUGUACGCGCGAGAGGUGGCCGCUAUUCUAUUGAAAACACGACUGUUAAAAAAUUUAGACAGACCCAGAAAGAGCUUAGAGAACUCAUCCCUUCUGCAGGGCACGGCCAACCCCUGUCUUCGACAGCUGUCGCGUAAACGUCGACUUUGAAAUAGUGGCGGCUUUAGUCAACGACGGGAAGAAGUGCACGCGGGGGCGAAAUUCUUGAACUUCGACUUUAAUGGCGGUGGCCCCAUUUCGAAAUAGACCGUCUAUUAGCGAGGCCUUAAUAUUUCAAGGGUUUUACGGAAUUUUUAAAGAAGUGGUUUAACCUCGGUAAAACAUCGACACCUAACGUUACGCGAGUAUUACCACGUGCAACCAGAAACCUGGCUGCGCGUAAGGCUAAAUGAAUUUCGUUUUAACGGGGCUCGACUCGAAUUUUUCUCUCAUUUGCUCCCGUCCACGUAAAAUUCUUACCUCAACGAUGCGAGUUCGAAUGUUUAUAAUUCUUUGACAAGUGUUCCAACCUCUCGAGUGAAAUGAUUAUGGGAUAUUGAUUGGACAGACGCGUUUGCUGUGAUAAGUGACCGAUCGAUGAUAGAUAAAUAGACGAUGUAGAAUUUAUAGCAAUAUAUUUUAUAUUACGUUUGUAUCGAUUCAAAAUAAAUAAUAAAGUUGAUAAAUGAAUAAACCAAAAAUUCUCACAGUAUUUUACACUCCGCUUAAGUUAAACAGAGUUUUUUUUAUUAAUUUCAUAAAAAUCAAAUUUACCGACGAAAAUGUUAAAUAUAUUAUAAAUGGAAAAUCGAAAACACGAUUGUGAAGAAAAUAUCAUAAUUCGUAUAUCGUGUAUUUGCAGGUGUGUGUACGAAUAUAAAUAUCCUUCUUUGAUUGCGUUUCGAUAUUCUAUAAGCUUUCGUACACACGAGAAAGACAGAAUCUUGACAAAUCGGCCAUUCAAUGCAUAUGUAUACGUAGGUAAGCAAACCUUUAAGAGCGCUCUCAACUUUUAUGGCAAGCUCUUAAGAGUACAUAAACAGAGAAAUCAUUCUUGUUACAGCCAGUGUUCACCACGUAUGCAUGUUCGUAUUAAAAUCUCUAUGCCUUUCCUCGUAAAAAUAAAAUCUCACUAUGAUCGAAUGGAAUCGCUUAUAAAGGCAUACAUUAAACGUGAAACGAUUAAAA